CAUAGCGACUAUCGUGGCAUAUCAAUAAGCGGAGGAAAAGAAACUAACAAGGAUUCCCUUAGUAACGGCGAGUGAAGCGGGAAGAGCUCAAAUUUGAAAUCUUCAAGGUUUUAUCCUUGACGAAUUGUAGUUUAAAGAAGUGUUUUCUGUUGGAGUUUUGGUAAAAGUUCUUUGGAAUAGGACAUCAUAGAGGGUGAGAAUCCCGUAUUUGACCAUUAUUUCCAGCUGUGUGAUACACUUUCAAAGAGUCGGAUUGUUUGGGAAUGCAGUCCAAAAUGGGUGGUAAAUUUCAUCUAAAGCUAAAUAUUGGCGAGAGACCGAUAGCGAACAAGUACCGUGAGGGAAAGAUGAAAAGAACUUUGAAAAGAGAGUUAAACAGUACGUGAAAUUGUCAAAAGGGAAGCGUUUGACACCAGUGUUGUUUUCUCGAAAAUCAAUUAAAAAUGAUGGGAUUUUGUGUUGUAUUGACUUUAUCAGCUUUCUGCACUUUUUUCUUAUCUUUUUUAAUGCACUUUUCGUUUAACAAGUCAACAUCAAUUUCUUUUGUUGUAAAAGAGUCAUUGGAAGGUGGCUUUUUCUUCGGAAAAAGUGUUUAUAGCCUUUGGCUUCUGCAAUCGGAGAGAUUGAGGUCUGCAGCGUAGAUCCUUCGGGGUUAGAUACAUUUGUGCUAAGCUAUAGUUCUUUAUAGACAACUUGUUGACUAUAAUCAAUCCUGUAACUUAGCUCGCUUAUGCUAUUUUACCUACGCUUAGGAUGUUGAUAGUCACAGCGUGUAC
rnacentral:rRNA from 1 species